GGUAUAACCCUCCUCCAUAGUUGUCUCAGUAAUGGUGGUGGAAAAUCUUCUGUAAGACAAGCCAUGUAAGAACUCUCAGCUCUUCUGUCAACAUAUUACUCUCCAAGUAUGAGCUCCGAGUAUCAAAUUGAUCAUUGUAGCUUGCCAUCAGUGGGAAAAGUGCACAGCAACUUCAGCUGGAAUUUCAGAGCCAGUGUGAUGGAAAGCCGCCAGAGGGGUAUCUGGACUUCUGAAGAGAGACUCCUGGGAAGAGCAACUCUAGAAUUGCCUCCUAAACAUCAGUUCAUGGGACUAAAUUGCAUAAAUGACCUGAGGAACAUGGUUUAAAGCAUGCAUCCUAUAGAGACUGAUCCUUUGGCCUUCAUACCCAAAUGUGAAGAAAAUCACAUUUCCCCUCACGGUCUGAAGAAGAGUCUCAGAGAUUCAGCUGACCCAGAAUUGCUUUGUAAUGGUCAGUCUGGGCCAGACAUCUUGAAGAAUAGUCAAGGAUUGUCUUUACUAUUUACUCAUACAAUGGCACAUAGGCACGGAUGGAUGAAGAAAUAAAUACUAUUUUCUAAUCAACCAUCUCUCAGCAGGAAUGCGGCCAUGACAACAGUGCUUUGAAGGAACAGUUCCCUUUAUCAGCAAAGUAGGAGGACCUCUUUGGUCUUUAUGGUGACCCUAUCCUAGAGGUUCUUCCUUUACUGUUGAUGGUAUCCUUUGCUGUGCAUGAGCUUCUUAGUUUAAUAUGAUCCCAUUUGUAUGUUUUUACUUUUACUGCCUAUGCUUUUGGAAUUCUAGCCAAAAAAUCAUUGCCCAUAGCAAUGCCCUGAAUUUUUCCCCUAUAUUUUCCUAUAGUAAUUUUAUGGUUUCAGGUCUUUCAUUUAAGUUUUUGAUCUAUUUUAUGUUGACUUUUGUGUAUGGCAGGAGAAGGGAUCUAUUUUCAUUUUUCUGCAUGUGUGUAUUCAGUUUUGCUUUCUUUUGUUCUUUCAAUGUGCCAGAGGAGAUUAAAAUAUGGAAAGCUAUUAUUAGUUAUACAACCAGAGGGCAUAUCAUC